rnacentral:tRNA from 1 species
GACCGCGUAGCUCAGUUGGCAGAGCAUUGGGCUAGUAUUCCAAAGAUCGUAGGUUCGAUUCCCACCGUGGUCA